CGUACUCUGAGGUGGUUCCCGGGGAGACUCCAAGAUUAGAACCCAUCUCCACAGCAUUGGUUCACCCUGACUGCUACUCGCUGUGGAAAUUCAGCUUCCUCAUCUAUAGAAGGGGCGGGAACCACUGCAUAUUUCUUCGGUUGUUAGAAGGGAUAAAUAAUGUAAUCAUUUAAAGUCCUUGGAUAAUUGCAUAGGGUAUCCUGUGUUAUACACAGUGCGUGAUCAGUAAAUUUGUUCCGUGUGUCUGUGUGAGAGAGAGAGAGAGAGAGAGAGACACACACACACACACACACACACACACACACACACACACAGAGUUCACUUUUGUGGUCACUCACUUUUAUCUGUCGUUUCCCCACCACAGGCGGGAGCUGCAUGCUUGGGGACAGGGCACCUUCCUCUCAUGGCUUGGGUGUUGUGGGACGUGUUCCCAGAUUCUAUUCUAGUUGACAGAGCCCUUUGCCGGCCUGAGGACAGCAUGUCUCUGCAUAAGUUUAAGAAUAGGCCAUUUCAAAUUGUGUUGUGUUAAGCUAUCCUGAUGCAGAGAUGCUCCCUGCAGCUCCGGGCCUGUGAGACUCCAAACUGAAGAU
rnacentral:lncRNA from 1 species